ACGUACAUUCCUACAACAUAGUGUUAAUGCACUAAAUCCUAUUAGAACUCCACAGUUAAGUGCAUUCGGGCUAAGAGUACUACUGGGAUGGGUUACCGCCCGGGAAGUCCUAGUAUUUUACAUG
rnacentral:rRNA from 1 species